rnacentral:rRNA from 1 species
CCGGGCAAGACCGGUGCCAGCCGCCGCGGUAACACCGGCGGCUCGAGUGGUAACCGUUAUUAUUGGGUCUAAAGGGUCUGUAGCCGGCCGGAUAAGUCUCUUGAGAAAUCUGGCAGCUUAACUGUCAGGCUUUCAGGAGAUACUGUCUGGCUCGAGGCCGGGAGAGGUGAGAGGUACUUCAGGGGUAGGGGUGAAAUCUUGUAAUCCUUGAAGGACCACCAGUGGCGAAGGCGUCUCACCAGAACGGACCUGACGGCAAGGGACGAAAGCUAGGGGCACGAACCGGAUUAGAUACCCGGGUAGUCCUAGCCGUAAACGAUACUCGCUAGGUGUCGGCCACGGUGCGACCGUUGUCGGUGCCGUAGGGAAGCCGUGAAGCGAG